rnacentral:rRNA from 1 species
CAGAGGUCCCAAGCGUUGUUCGGAUUCACUGGGCGUAAAGGGUGCGCAGGUGGGUUGGCAAGUUCGAUGUGAAAGCCCCGGGCUUAACCCGGGAAUGGCAUUGGAAACUGCUGAUCUGGAGGAUCGAGGGGGGGACUGGAAUUCUUGGUGUAGCAGUGAAAUGCGUAGAUAUCAAGAGGAACACCAGUGGCGAAGGCGAGUCCCUGGACGAUACCUGACACUGAGGCACGAAAGCCAAGGGAGCAAACAGGAUUAGAUACCCUGGUAGUCUUGGCUGUAAACGGUGCGCAUUUGCUGUAAACGGAAUCGACCCCGUUUGUGGCGUAGCUAACGCGAUAAAUGCGCCGCCUGGGAAGUACGGUCGCAAGAUUA